UACGGAGGGGGCUAGCGUUGUUCGGAAUCAUUGGGCGUAAAGGGCGCGUAGGCGGCCAUUCAAGUCGGACGUGAAAUCCCUCGGCUCAACUGGGGAACUGCGUCCGAUACUGUUCGGCUUGAGUCCUGGAGAGGGUAAUGGAAUUCCCAGUGUAGCGGUGAAAUGCGUAGAUACUGGGAGGAACACCAGUGGCGAAGGCGGUUACCUGGACAGGUACUGACGCUGAGGCGCGAAAGCUAGGGGAGCAAACAGG
rnacentral:rRNA from 1 species